rnacentral:rRNA from 1 species
ACGCUGGCGGCGUGCCUAAUACAUGCAAGUCGAGCGGACGAUUCAAAAGCUUGCUUUUGAAUCGUUAGCGGCGGACGGGUGAGUAACACGUGGGCAACCUGCCCUGUAGACGGGGAUAACACCGAGAAAUCGGUGCUAAUACCGGAUAACACGAAGAACCGCAUGGUUUUUCGUUGAAAGGCGGCGCAAGCUGUCGCUACAGGAUGGGCCCGCGGCGCAUUAGCUAGUUGGUGAGGUAAUGGCUCACCAAGGCGACGAUGCGUAGCCGACCUGAGAGGGUGAUCGGCCACACUGGGACUGAGACACGGCCCAGACUCCUACGGGAGGCAGCAGUAGGGAAUCUUCCGCAAUGGACGAAAGUCUGACGGAGCAACGCCGCGUGAGCGAAGAAGGCCUUCGGGUCGUAAAGCUCUGUUGUUAGGGAAGAACAAGUACCGCAGUCACUGGCGGUACCUUGACGGUACCUAACGAGAAAGCCACGGCUAACUACGUGCCAGCAGCCGCGGUAAUACGUAGGCGGCAAGCGUUGUCCGGAAUUAUUGGGCGUAAAGCGCGCGCAGGCGGUUCCUUAAGUCUGAUGUGAAAGCCCACGGCUCAACCGUGGAGGGUCAUUGGAAACUGGGGGACUUGAGUGCAGAAGAGGAGAGUGGAAUUCCACGUGUAGCGGUGAAAUGCGUAGAGAUGUGGAGGAACACCAGUG